CCUACGGGGGGCAGCAGUCGAGAAUCAUUCACAAUGGGGGAAACCCUGAUGGUGCGACGCCGCGUGGGGGAAUGAAGGUCUUCGGAUUGUAAACCCCUGUCAUGUGGGAGCAAAUUAAAAAGAUAGUACCACAAGAGGAAGAGACGGCUAACUCUGUGCCAGCAGCCGCGGUAAUACAGAGGUCUCAAGCGUUGUUCGGAAUCACUGGGCGUAAGGCGUGCGUAGGCUGUUUCGUAAGUCGUGUGUGAAAGGCGCGGGCUCAACCCGCGGACGGCACAUGAUACUGCGAGACUAGAGUAAUGGAGGGGGAACCGGAAUUCUCGGUGUAGCAGUGAAAUGCGUAGAUAUCGAGAGGAACACUCGUGGCGAAGCGGGUUCCUGGACAUUAACUGACGCUGAGGCACGAAGGCCAGGGGAGCGAAAGGGAUUAGAUACCCGAGUAGUC
rnacentral:rRNA from 1 species